rnacentral:rRNA from 1 species
CCUACGGGUGGCAGCAGUGGGGAAUAUUGCACAAUGGGGGAAACCCUGAUGCAGCGACGCCGCGUGAGUGAUGAAGUAUUUCGGUAUGUAAAGCUCUAUCAGCAGGGAAGAUAAUGACGGUACCUGACUAAGAAGCUCCGGCUCAAUACGUGCCAGCAGCCGCGGUAAUACGUAUGGAGCAAGCGUUAUCCGGAUUUACUGGGUGUAAAGGGAGCGCAGACGGUGAGACAAGUCUGAAGUGAAAGCCCGGGGCUCAACUCCGGGACUGCUUUGGAAACUGCCUGACUGGAGUGCUGGAGAGGCAAGCGGAAUUCCUAGUGUAGCGGUGAAAUGCGUAGAUAUGAGGAAGAACACCAGUGGCGAAGGCGGCUUGCUGGACAGUAACUGACGUUGAGGCUCGAAAGCGUGGGGAGCAAACAGGAUUAGAUACCCCAGUAGUC